UUUGUGGUAGAAAGGAGAGAUGGUUGGCGUCUACCUCUCCAAGGAUUGGAAAAAUGUUUAGAAUUUCUUAUCAAAUGCGGUUAAGGCUAUCUUCUCCCUCCAGGGUGGAUCUUUACCCAAAGGGUUUU
rfam:Picea glauca, whole genome shotgun sequence.